AUUGAACGCUGGCGGCAGGCUUAACACAUGCAAGUCGAGCGGAGAUGAGGUGCUUGCACCUUAUCUUAGCGGCGGACGGGUGAGUAAUGCUUAGGAAUCUGCCUAUUAGUGGGGGACAACAUUCCGAAAGGAAUGCUAAUACAGCAUACGUCCUACGGGAUAAAGCAGGGGAUCUUCGGACCUUGCGCUAAUAGAUGAGCCUAAGUCGGAUUAGCGAGUUGGUGGGGUAAAGGCCUACCAAGGCGACGAUCUGUAGCGGGUCUGAGAGGAUGAUCCGCCACACUGGGACUGAGACACGGCGCAGACUCCUACGGGAGGCAGCAGUGGGGAAUAUUGGACAAUGGGGGAAACCCUGAUCCAGCCAUGCCGCGUGUGUGAAGAAGGCCUUAUGGUUGUAAAGCACUUUAAGCGAGGAGGAGGCUACUGAGACUAAUACUCUUGGAUAGUGGACGUUACUCGCAGAAUAAGCACCGGCUAACUCUGUGCCAGCAGCCGCCGUAAAAC
rnacentral:rRNA from 1 species